rnacentral:rRNA from 1 species
AGAUUGAACGCUGGCGGCAGGCCUAACACAUGCAAGUCGAGCGGCAGCACGGGUACUUGUACCUGGUGGCGAGCGGCGGACGGGUGAGUAAUGCCUAGGAAUCUGCCUGAUAGUGGGGGGAUAACGUUCGGAAACGGACGCUAAUACCGCAUACGUCCUACGGGAGAAAGUGGGGGAUCUUCGGACCUCACGCUAUCAGAUGAGCCUAGGUCGGAUUAGCUAGUUGGUAGGGUAAAGGCCUACCAAGGCUACGAUCCGUAACUGGUCUGAGAGGAUGAUCAGUCACACUGGAACUGAGACACGGUCCAGACUCCUACGGGAGGCAGCAGUGGGGAAUAUUGGACAAUGGGCGAAAGCCUGAUCCAGCCAUGCCGCGUGUGUGAAGAAGGUCUUCGGAUUGAAAGCUACGUUUAAGUUGGGAGGAAGGCUAAGUUAACCUAAAUUACCGGUUAGUUGUUUUAGAACGUUUACCGAAUAGUAAUAAGCACCGGCUAACGUCUGUCGCCAGUCCAGCCGAGUUAAC